rnacentral:tRNA from 1 species
GGAGAGAUGGCUCAGUGGUUAAGAGCACUGACUGCUCUUCCAGAGGUCCUGAGUUCAAAUCCCAGCACCCACA